rnacentral:rRNA from 1 species
UACGGGGGGGGGCAAGCGUUGUUCGGAAUUACUGGGCGUAAAGGGUUCGUAGGUGGCUCGCUAAGCCAGACGUGAAAUCCCUCAGCUUAACUGGGGAACUGCGUCUGGGACUGGCGAGCUCGAGUGCGGGAGAGGAAUGCGGAAUUCCAGGUGUAGCGGUGAAAUGCGUAGAUAUCUGGAGGAACACCGGUGGCGAAGGCGGCAUUCUGGACUGCAACUGACACUGAGGAACGAAAGCCAGGGGAGCAAACGGG